rnacentral:rRNA from 1 species
CACGUGUGCAACCAACCCCGUACAGGGAGAUAACCCGCGGAAACGUGGACUAACACCCCAUAAUACCUUUCCCCCGCAUGGGGGGGAGUUUAAAACCCCGGUGGUACGGGACGGGCACGCGCGACAUUAGGUAGUUGGCGGGGUAACGGCCCACCAAGCCGACGAUGUCUAGGGGUUCUGAGAGGAAGGUCCCCCACACUGGAACUGAGACACGGUCCAGACUCCUACGGGAGGCAGCAGUGAGGAAUAUUGGUCAAUGGGCGAGAGCCUGAACCAGCCAAGUCGCGUGAGGGAAGAAUGGUCUAUGGCCUGUAAACCUCUUUUGUCAAGGAAGAACAUGUAGUACGUGUACUACCCUGCCAGUACUUGACGAAUAAGCAUCGGCUAACUCCGUGCCAGCAGCCGCGGUAAUACGGGGGAUGCGAGCGUUAUCCGGAUUUAUUGGGUUUAAAGGGCGCGUAGGCGGGACGUCAAGUCAGCGGUAAAAGACUGCAGCUAAACUGUAGCACGCCGUUGAAACUGUCGACCUGGAGACGAGACGAGGGAGGCGGAACAAGUGAAGUAGCGGUGAAAUGCAUAGAUAUCACUUGGAACCCCGAUAGCGAAGGCAGCUUCCCAGGCUCGAUCUGACGCUGAUGCGCGAGAGCGUGGGUAGCGAACAGGAUUAGAUACCCUGGUAGUCCACGCCGUAAACGAUGCUCACUGGAUCUUGGCGAUACACGGCCAGGGUUCAAGCGAAAGUAUUAAGUGAGCCACCUGGGGAGUACGUCGGCAACGAUGAAACUCAAAGGAAUUGACGGGGGCCCGCACAAGCGGAGGAACAUGUGGUUUAAUUCGAUGAUACGCGAGGAACCUUACCCGGGUUUAAAUGCAGGUUGCAUGAGGUGGAAACACCUCUUUCCCUCGGGACUACCUGCAAGGUGCUGCAUGGUUGUCGUCAGCUCGUGCCGUGAGGUGUCGGGUUAAGUCCCAUAACGAGCGCAACCCCUAUCGCCAGUUGCCAUCGGUUUCGGCCGGGCACUCUGUCGAGACUGCCACCGUAAGGUGCGAGGAAGGCGGGGAUGACGUCAAAUCAGCACGGCCCUUACACCCGGGGCGACACACGUGUUACAAUGGCCGGUACAGAGGGCAGCCACGGGGCGACCCUGAGCGAAUCUCUAAAGCCGGUCGUAGUUCGGACUGGAGUCUGCAACCCGACUCCACGAAGUUGGAUUCGCUAGUAAUCGCGCAUCAG